CCCAGCCCCUGUGAAGCAGCGUGGGGAAAGGGCUAAUCCCCACCGCAGAGAUAUCGGGAGGAACAGAGAGAGGCAGAGACGACCCUGCAGCAUCGCACUGCUAACACCGGCGAAGCUGACAGUCCCACCCCCGGACCUGGCUUGAUUCCUGCAAGGCUGCAGAAGGCUAUUGUUGCACUGUCAGAAGUAAAGCAACACAGCCACAGAUUUUUUGCUUCUUUUGUUGUCUGCUCUGGCAAUGGGCUCCAUUUUAAUAUGGUGCUUACAACUGAGCCAACUGCCGCCCGGCUGCUGAUGAUACACACAUGACCCAACAGUCA